rnacentral:rRNA from 1 species
UAACGCGAAGAACCUUACCAAAUCUUGACAUCCUUUGACACCUCUAGAGAUAGAGNUUUCCCCUUCGGGGGACAAAGUGACAGGUGGUGCAUGGUUGUCGUCAGCUCGUGUCGUGAGAUGUUGGGUUAAGUCCCGCAACGAGCGCAACCCUUAAGCUUAGUUGCCAUCAUUAAGUUGGGCACUCUANGUUGACUGCCGGUGACAAACCGGAGGAAGGUGGGGAUGACGUCAAAUCAUCAUGCCCCUUAUGAUUUGGGCUACACACGUGCUACAAUGGACAAUACAAAGGGCAGCNAAACCGCGAGGUCANGCAAAUCCCAUAAAGUUGUUCUCAGUUCGGAUUGUAGUCUGCAACUCGACUACAUGAAGCUGGAAUCGCUAGUAAUCGUAGAUCANCAUGCUACGGUGAAUACGUUCCCGGGUCUUGUACACACCGA